rnacentral:rRNA from 1 species
UACAGAGGUCUCAAGCGUUGUUCGGAUUCAUUGGGCGUAAAGGGUGCGUAGGUGGCGCCGUAAGUCAGGUGUGAAAUUUCGGAGCUUAACUCCGAAACUGCAUUUGAUACUGCGGUGCUUGAGGACUGGAGAGGAGACUGGAAUUUACGGUGUAGCAGUGAAAUGCGUAGAUAUCGUAAGGAAGACCAGUGGCGAAGGCGAAUCUCUGGACAUUUCCUGACGCUGAGGCACGAAAGCCAGGGGAGCAAACGGG